UUUUCAAAAAAAAUAUCUUAGUCUACCUAGAAUUCAAAAUUUUCUCAAUAAUGUAUCCCAAUCUAACUAGAAUUAAAGUAUCCUAGUCUAACUAAAAUUUAAGACAAUCUCUGCACGGUCAGAGAUAUCUCCAAGCUUUGCCUAUGCCUAAUCCCUUCCUCACACAAUCUUAAGGGCGCCUCCCCCACAUCAAUCUAGUGAGAUUUUACUCAUAGAGUGUUCCACACAAAGAUCAAACACUGAUGCAUGAGGAAACAGGACUACUUUCCUUACCUAUUGGACUAGUCCGUGGGAGCGCUUCUUUACUCCUUAUAUAAUGGUAAAAUAUUCACCUGAAUCCUUCUUUUUCCAAUUUUGAUUAAUAAUCUUAUUAUACUAUCCCAAUGUUGUGCAACCAAGUAAAACUAUUAAUACCUUCAUAUGAUUAUUGUCGUAAUAAUGCUAAUGUGAGAAGUAAUAUUUUAAUAAUAAAAAUUAUGAGAUAGCUUUCUGGUUUAUCCACUUAUUGCAUCCCAAUUACUAAAAAGUAUUGUCUCUUACUCAUAAAAAAUGGUCUUACUAAAGAUUUUUGAACUAAGAAAUCUAAUUUAUUUUCUAAGAAACAAAUCAAUUCUAAUAUAAAUUAUGGCAAAUGGAAAAAAAAAAAUCCAGGGGCAAAGAGAGGCAUCACAAAGAAAGAAGAAGAGAAGCGGUUGCCGCUCCCAUGCACCAAAAAAGAAAAAAAGAAGUAGAAGAAAAAGCGGUCGUCAAAUUAAUCAACAAAUUUUCUUGUUGGAGAGGUGUUGAGACCUUGAAAAAUUUGAACCAUUUCGAGGUGAAUUAAG
rnacentral:lncRNA from 1 species